rnacentral:lncRNA from 10 species
CAAGAAUGAAUGAUAGGGGUUUAACAGGCCGAUGGGGAAAGUGGACAUGACUCCUCCAGCUAUCAAAUUAGACGAUGCUGCCAUGUUAAUUCUCCAAACGAGAAACAAAAGUGUAAUAGAGAACUUGUAUCGUCAAUAACGUCAUCGUGAACCAGACUAGCAGUGUGGAUCAUUUCUGCAAUUAAGGCUAUGGCGCGGUGGCUGGCUUGCACAUGUCAAAUUAACAGACAGCAAUGCUUUUUAACAGACGCCGCCUAGAACCUUCUCAGCAAUCAGCUUGUGAAAAUUGGACAUCGGAUCGGGAGUUGUUAUGAUGGAUAUUACAUGCUCGGGCCAUUAGCACCCCAAUAAUUGGUCGAAAGGCUUUUCCUUUUCCAUCAAAGUAGUACUCAGACAUUUCCUGAAGUUCUGUUGUUGAUAUGAGCAGUUCCUUUCUAAUGUCCUCAUACAGACCUUUCAAGUCUCUGCAACCGAAUUUGAAAGGAUCGGUGAUCUGUAUAUUUCUCACCACUGUGUGUUUUAC